UGGUUUCCGUAGGUGAACCUGCGGAAGGAUCAUUGUCGAACCC
rnacentral:rRNA from 1 species